rnacentral:lncRNA from 1 species
AUCUUUUUAAUUUUAUUUUUUAUUUUCUUCUAUUUUUCUUUUUUUCUCUGUUUUGCACAUAUAUAGCACUUCCACUAGUUUCCUUAAAAACACUCAAGUAGCAGAUCAUUACAGACUAAUGGAACUCAUCAUCAGGCUGCGUACUCCAUGUGGGGUCUUGAGCAAUGUGAGAUUCCACGUGGUAGCAAAGAGAAACCAGGAUGUGAGUGCCUAUGGCUGGCAUCUCAGGCUCCAUCAAUUCUUUUUAUCUUUUCAUUGAGAAAGAUGUAAAAAGAGGGCAUGCAAUAGAGGUGAGUUAACGUAACCUUUCCCAGCCUCUUGCCUAGCCCAUCUUCCUCCUCCCUCUUGCAUUCUCUGUGUUCUUGGCAUAAUUCUUUCCCAACGGCUCCCUUGAGCACCUUUCUGCUCAUUAUUUUAUUCUACCUGCCUAGAUAAAUCUCCAGAUGAUUCACUUCCUCUAAAACCCACCUACUCUAACAUUGUCAAGGGAUUCCUACAAAAGAACAAUCAAGCAUUUGCCUGGAGGACUAGUGGACUAGAUUUCUUCUGUUUUAAUUUAUAACAUGAAAUAAGGAGCUUAAUCUACACCAGGCUCCUGGGAACCCCACUUAAUAGACUGCGCAUCAGGGAACUUUCCACAGACUGCUUUGGAAGAUGUCUUCCAUGCUACUGGAAUAUUCUCUGGCCAACUAACUGAUUGCUGAUGUCUGUUUCAUGCCUCGGUGACUUCUUGCUGUUGACCUGGGUUCAUUCUCUCAUU